rnacentral:lncRNA from 1 species
UGCCAUGUUGACCAGGCUGGUCUCGAACUCCUGACCUGAGGUAAUCCAAUCUCCUUGGCCUCCCAAAGUGCUGAGAUUACAGGCGUGAGCUGCUGUGCCCGGUGGAGUCUACAUUUCUAACAAGCUCCAGCGGAUGUGGAUACAGCCGGCCUCCAGCCCACAUGCUGGAGAGUAAAACCUUAGACAUGUGCAAGACCCUUUAUUUCAGAGUUAAUUUUCGGAAAAACAAGCCUGGUUUCCUUGGAGGAGUCCUUGCUGGGAACGAGUCCGUCCUCAGGUGAUGCUGCCUUGCCAGGCCACAUCUCUGGUACUGCAGCCACUCUGCCAGAUCGGUGGCAGUUGGGGCAGCACCUUCUGCCUGCCCCACCGUUCCUGCCAGGCUCAGCUGAAGUUUUGCCCUACAGUUGGGGGAAAUAAGUAUCAGACGUGUAUGCGCUUGCCAGGAAACUGCUACAAUUUUCAAGAGCGCCUUUGAAAGCUCCCACCAACUGCCGCAGUCUGCAUCAGCCAGGCAUGUGUACCCACACAGCCUGCCCAGUACCCUGUGUGAAGCCCAUCUCCACUUCCAGGUCUGGCUGUGUCCAGCUCUAGAGAGCUGUGGAGUCAGCGCCACUUCUGCUUCAAGAUCCAGAUGAGUGCCAUCU